AUAAAGUGGAUUAGCGGCGGACGGGUGAGUAACACGUGAGUAACCUGCCUUAGACAUUGGGAUAGCCUCGGGAAACCGGGAUUAAUACCAAAUAAAACCAUAAUGACACAUGUCAUAACGAUCAAAACUCCGGUGGUCUAAGAUGGACUCGCGUCCCAUUAGCUAGUUGGUAGAGUAAAAGCCUACCAAGGCGACGAUGGGUAGCCGGCCUGAGAGGGUGAACGGCCACAUUGGAACUGAGAAACGGUCCAA
rnacentral:rRNA from 1 species